ACUCAAAUGAAUUGACGGGGGCUCACACAAGCGGUGGAGCAUGUGGCUUAAUUCGAAGCAACGCGAAGAACCUUAUCCAAGGCUUGACAUGCACGGAUUAGUUCGAUGAAAGUUGAAUGACACCCGCAAGGGUGGAACGUGCACAGGUGCUGCAUGGCUGUCGUCAGCUCGUGCUGUGAAGUGUCGGGUUAAGUCCCUCAACGAGCGAAACCCUUGUCGCUAGUUACUAACGGGUCAUGCCGAGGACUCUAGCGAGACUGCCGGCGUUAAGCCGGAGGAAGGUGGGGAUGACGUCAAGUCCUCAUGGCCUUUAUGCCUUGGGCUGCACACGUGCUACAAUGGAAUGAACAGAGCGAAGCAAUACCGCAAGGUGGAGCAAAUCGCAAAAAACAUUCCCCAGUUCAGAUCGUGGUCUGCAACCCGACCACGUGAAGCCGGAAUCGCUAGUAAUCGCGCAUCAGCUACGGCGCGGUGAAUAUGUUCCUGAGCCUUGCACACACCGCCCGU
rnacentral:rRNA from 1 species